GACCCCCAGAUUUGUCCUGUGCCCAUAGCACAUUUGUAAAGAGAUUGCAAGAAGCAACAAUGGGAGCUGCACAUGAGCCUGAACAGACAUGACAGGCAGGUUAUGCGGCUGCCUGCUGCUGCACCUAUCAAAAAUGCUCUGGAAGAAGUCACAAAAGCUCAAGAGGAGAAUCAAGUAGUUCUUCAAGUGAUUGCCAGUGUGAACACAAAGGGAGAACACCUUAUCCUGAGGAGAUCAGUAAGGGCUCUUCAGUCUUAACCUCACUAAGGUCCACUUUUGCCUUGUGUAUUCACAAACCAAAGGAACCCUGCAGAAAGACCAACGGCAGCAAAGACAAGGUCAAACAGUGUAUGAGGUGGCACAGCUAUUCCUGGCUGCAGUCAUUGGUUUUUUCACAUGAAAGAAACAAAGUCAAGGACUGAGUGAGCAUACUCAUUAGCAAUUGUGAAUGACAGGAGUCAUCAGAUUGUGAGAAGAACUUCAGUUCCUGAAAGAUUCAAAUGAAGAAGAUUUACUGAGUUCUUCUGAGUGAAAGGAAAACCCAAGAUCUUUUUAAUAGAAGAAAACAUGUUUAUUUAGAAGGUGUGGAAAUAUGCAAAAUGAACAAAAAAUAUGUGAAAAAAAAUGUUGUAACUGUUAGCUUUCUGAGCUUUUUUUUUACCUUCGAGAAACCAUUGAGUUUUAAAAUUCUGAGAUAAACCAACUUAUGUGCUUUUGUCAACAAGACAAUGUACAAAUACACUUUUAAUUGUAUUAAACAAUUUAAAGCUAUUCUUUUUAAAUGCCAGUGUUCUACAAUGCAUUCACUUUGACAUUAUAAUAAAAUAUACAGUAGAUAAUUUGUCUGCAGCUGAAUUCACAGAUGUUGCAGAAGUGAGGAGGGGCAUCAAUCAAACUGCAGGACACAUGGCUGGUGGCUGUCCUUGCCAUUCCCCAGGCUAAGAAGUGGAAGAAGCACAGCAGCCGUGUCAGGGAUCAGCAGCGAGGUGAGGUGUGAAAGUCCUGCACUACUGCACGUUGCCAACAGCAAAUGUCAGAGGAGGAAGGUAGUGCCCUAUUCCUGUGGGGAUGGGAGCCCUGAUGUGGAUUUAUAUAUCUGACAGGUCAUUACAUAGGCUCUCACUCUAUCCACAGUGGAGAGAACACAAGUUAAUGUCCUUCUAUAAAGUAAGCCAAACAUACUAAUCUGAGUAGUGACAAUGGUCAAAUUCACUUAGAAAGGAAAUGAGAAGUUCUGUAUUUUCUUAGCAUAUCAGUGUGUUAGGAUGUUGCAGUUAUGUCUUACUAUGUUGUAAAUAGAUGUAGAUUAAAAAGCAGUUAUCAACUGCAGA